CGGGGAAUAGCUCAGCCUGGUAGAGCACUGCGUUCGGGACGCAGGNNGCAGGGGCCGGAGGUUCGAAUCCUCUUUCCCCGACCA
rnacentral:tRNA from 1 species